UACAGAGGUCUCAAGCGUUGUUCGGAUUCAUUGGGCGUAAAGGGCGCGUAGGCGGCGGGGUAAGUCGGGUGUGAAAUCUCAGGGCUCAACCCUGAAACUGCACUCGAUACUGCUCUGCUUGAGGACUGGAGAGGAGACUGGAAUUCACGGUGUAGCAGUGAAAUGCGUAGAUAUCUGGAGGAACACCGGUGGCGAAGGCGGCAUCCUGGACCGAUACUGGCGCUGAGGAGCGAAAGCCAGGGGAGCAAACGGG
rnacentral:rRNA from 1 species